rnacentral:rRNA from 1 species
UACGUAGGCAGCGAGCGUUGUUCGGAGUUACUGGGCGUAAAGGGCUCGUAGGCGGCCAACUAAGUCAGACGUGAAAUCCCCAGGCUCAACCUGGGAACUGCGUCUGAUACUGGAUGGCUUGAAUCCGGGAGAGGGAUGCAGAAUUCCUGGUGUAGCGGUGAAAUGCGCAGAUAUCAGGAGGAACACCGGUGGCGAAGGCGGGUCUCUGGGCCGAAACUGACGCUGAGGAGCGAAAGCGUGGGGAGCAAACAGG